CGGCAGCACGGGGGCAACCCUGGUGGCGAGUGGCGAACGGGUGAGUAAUACAUCGGAACGUGUCCUGUAGUGGGGGAUAGCCCGGCGAAAGCCGGAUUAAUACCGCAUACGCUCUACGGAGGAAAGGGGGGGAUCUUAGGACCUCUCGCUACAGGGGCGGCCGAUGGCAGAUUAGCUAGUUGGUGGGGUAAAGGCCUACCAAGGCGACGAUCUGUAGCUGGUCUGAGAGGACGACCAGCCACACUGGGACUGAGACACGGCCCAGACUCCUACGGGAGGCAGCAGUGGGGAAUUUUGGACAAUGGGGGAAACCCUGAUCCAGCAAUGCCGCGUGUGUGAAGAAGGCCUUCGGGUUGUAAAGCACUUUUGUCCGGAAAGAAAUCCUCUUCGAUAAUACCGAGGGGGGAUGACGGUACCGGAAGAAUAAGCACCGGCUAACUACGUGCCAGCAGCCGCGGUAAUACGUAGGGUGCAAGCGUUAAUCGGAAUUACUGGGCGUAAAGCGUGCGCAGGCGGUUCGCUAAGACAGAUGUGAAAUCCCCGGGCUUAACCUGGGAACUGCAUUUGUGACUGGCGGGCUAGAGUAUGGCAGAGGGGGGUAGAAUUCCACGUGUAGCAGUGAAAUGCGUAGAGAUGUGGAGGAAUACCGAUGGCGAA
rnacentral:rRNA from 1 species